GCCUUGUUCUCCACCUUUCUUUUCUCUUAUCUGGGGCCGCUCUGUUCUUGUCAGCCUACAGCCCGCAGUCUGCCUGAGACCGAGCACCAUGCCUUCAAUUAAGUUGCAGAGUUCCUAUGGAGAGAUAUCUGAGGUUGAUGUUGAAAUUGCCGAACAGUCUGUGACUAUCAAGACCAUGUUGGAAGAUUUGGGAAUGGAUGAUGAAGGAGAUGAUGACCCAGUUCCUCUACCAAAUGUUAACACAGCAAUAUUAAAAAAGGUCAUUCAGUGGAGCACCCACCACAAGGAUGACCCCCCACCUCCCGAGGAUGAUGAGAACAAAGAAAAGCGGACAGAUGAUAUCCCUGUUUGGGACCAAGAAUUCCUGAAAGUUGACCAAGGAACACUUUUUGAACUUAUUUUGGCUGCGAACUACUUAGCAAACAUCAAAGGUUUGCUUGAUGUUACAUGCAAGACUGUUGCCAAUAUGAUCAAGGGGAAAACUCCUGAGGAGAUCCGCAAGACCUUCAAUAUCAAAAAUGACCUUACUGAAGAAGAGGAAGCCCAGGUACGCAAAGAAAACCAGUGGUGUGAAGAGAAGUGAAAUGUUAUGCCCGACACUGUAACACUGUAAGGAUUGUUCCAAAUACUAGUUGCACUGCUCUGUUUAUAAUUGUUAAUAUUAGACAAACAGUAGACAAAUGGCAGCAGCAAAUCAGUUGUUUAAGCAGAAUAUUGUCCUCCUUGCAUGUGUAGUUUGAGUACAGAUUCCAAACUUAUGGCUGAGUUUCUGCUAGUAUGAUCAAAAGUUUCUUUUUUCUUUGCUCUAAAUAAACCUGAACUGUGGGUUCUCUGUAGAAGGUGGCAUUUUGGGCUUUCCAAAACUCUCUUUGUAAAGCGAUUUCUGCCUAGUUUAUUGUCUAGUUAACUUUAGUUUAAUGACCUUUUAAAAGUUGGCAUUGUAAAUAAAACAAGUUGAAAAAAGUUUUCUGAAAUAGAAUUAACAACAUAUUCUCUUUAUUCAUGAGUUGGAAACUGGAAAAAGGCUACCUGAGGUAAAUGUUUCGAGUGGGGUUAUUAGGAUGUCUUCCAGCUUCCUGGAGUCAAGGAGUACCACUGGUAUUGAUUAGCCUGUAUGUAGCAGGGCUCCUUUAAUUGGAUCUAAGGACUUGUUUUUGCAUUUUUAAUCCUCAGCUUUGAAUAUGUUGGCUAGAGACUCAGUUACUACUCAGUUUGUGAUUUUGGGGGGAAUAUAACUAGCGAGUCUGUUAGCUUUUCGAUUAAAAAAGACAACCCAUGUGGUUAUGUCAUCUUAUAAUCAUUGAUCCCAUGUGGGGGAAAGUUCACACUACUUGUACGUAAAAAAUAAUUUAACCUUUAACGUUAAAAAUCUAGAAAGCAUCCAUCAUGAAUGCAAGAUACUUUCAAUAAAAAAUAAGUUA